rnacentral:rRNA from 1 species
UACACGAGUGGCGAACGGUUAAGUAACACGUGUGUAAUCUGCCCUGCACUUCGGGAUAAGCCUGGGAAACUGGGUCUAAUACCGGAUAUGACUUCUGGCCGCAUGGUCUGGAGGUGGAAAGUUUUUCGGUGCAGGAUGAGUCCGCGGCCUAUCAGCUUGUUGGUGGGGUAAUGGCCUACCAAAGCAACGACGGUUAGCCGGCCUGAGAGGGUGAUCGGCCACACUGGGACUGAGACACGGCCCACACUCCUACGGGAGGCAUGAGUGGGGAAUAUUGCACAGUGGGCGGAAGCCUGAUUCAUCGACGCCGGGGGGGGGAUGACUGUCUUCGGAUUGUAAACCCCUUUCAGUAGGGACGAAGCGCAAGUGACGGUACCUGCAGAAGAAGCACCGGCUAACUACAUGCCACCAGCCGCGGUAAUACGUACGGUGCGAGCGUUGUCCGGAAUUACUGGACGUAAAGAGCUCCUAGGCGGUUUGUCACGUCGUGUGUGAAAUCCAUCAGCUUAACCGGGGGCGUGCAGGCGAUACGGCCAGACUUUAGUACUACAGGGGAGACUGGAAUUCCUGGUGUA